rnacentral:rRNA from 1 species
CGGAGGAUCCAAGCGUUAUCCGGAAUCAUUGGGUUUAAAGGGUCCGUAGGCGGUUUAAUAAGUCAGUGGUGAAAGCCUAUCGCUUAACGAUAGAACGGCCAUUGAUACUGUUAGACUUGAAUUAGUGGGAAGCAACUAGAAUAUGUAGUGUAGCGGUGAAAUGCUUAGAUAUUACAUGGAAUACCAAUUGCGAAGGCAGGUUACUAUCACUAUAUUGACGCUGAUGGACGAAAGCGUGGGGAGCGAACAGGAUUAGAUACCCUGGUAGUCCACGCCGUAAACGAUGGAUACUAGCUGUUCGGAGCAAUCUGAGUGGCUAAGCGAAAGUGAUAAGUAUCCCACCUGGGGAGUACGUUCGCAAGAAUG